AGCGAACGCUGGCGGCAGGCCUAACACAUGCAGGUCGAACGAACCCUUCGGGGUUAGUGGCGGACGGGUGAGUAACACGUGGGAACGUGCCUUUAGGUUCGGAAUAACUCAGGGAAACUUGUGCUAAUACCGAAUGUGCCCUUCGGGGGAAAGAUUUAUCGCCUUUAGAGCGGCCCGCGUCUGAUUAGCUAGUUGGUGAGGUAACGGCUCACCAAGGCGACGAUCAGUAGCUGGUCUGAGAGGAUGACCAGCCACACUGGGACUGAGACACGGCCCAGACUCCUACGGGAGGCAGCAGUGGGGAAUCUUGCGCAAUGGGCGAAAGCCUGACGCAGCCAUGCCGCGUGAAUGAUGAAGGUCUUAGGAUUGUAAAAUUCUUUCACCGGGGACGAUAAUGACGGUACCCGGAGAAGAAGCCCCGGCUAACUUCGUGCCAGCAGCCGCGGUAAAAC
rnacentral:rRNA from 1 species